rnacentral:lncRNA from 1 species
CGGCCAGUCCUUCCCUGCGCACCUGGUGAUCUUUGCUCCUCCACCCGCCAGCCAGCUCGGCGGAGAGCCAGAGCUGAGGGUCCUUCACAUCCAGACAUCUGAUGCUCCCCACAGCCCUGCAGAGAACCAGCAUGGUGGCUGCAUUUCAGAUGGGGAAACUGAUGGCCAAGAGGGAAACGUGCUUCCAAUCUUCCAGGAAAAAAUGAAGGCUCCGGAUGAGAAAAAGCAAACAAAGGACAGUGGGACCGUGGGUGUCCCCACCCCCGCCACCUGCAGGCCCCACAUGCAAACCAGCGCCCGUGCCCACGCCCGUGCAGCCAUCCUCCGCCAGGCCCCAAGAACGGCUCUGUUAUUUUUGGGGCACUGCCAGGCUAAGCUGUUGAGGCUGGGGACAUAGCGAGUGACUCUCCACAACAGCAUGUGACAAGCUGACCCUUCCCUGCAGUCUGCCCAACUGAGAGCUGCCUCUUGCUCUGCCCAUCCUGCCCGAGCUAACAGCAGCCCCACCAGCUUGCUCCAGCUGUCUCUUGGUUGUCAGUCUUGCCUCUCCUCCAAGGGACUCGGGGGAGUCACAGACAGCAGGACCCUGGCAUAAAAAUCAUCAUAACCACCAGGCACUUCAGAGUUUAUAAAGCUCCGGCGCUUCUGUUGAAGGCCAUCAUCCAAGCACCUCGGUGGCUGUACAUUUUACGGAUGAGGAAAGGGGUACAGAAAGGCGAAGUGACUUGUCUGUGGCCACAUAAAAAAAGGCUUGGCAGGACCGGGCUCCUGGCUCCUGACCCCACCUUCUUUCCCCUGCCCUGCCCAGUGGCCAGCUCAGACCCACAUCCCCUGACAUCUACUGCAAGC